CCUACGGGAGGCAGCAGUGGGGAAUAUUGCGCAAUGGACGAAAGUCUGACGCAGCAACGCCGCGUGAGGGAUGACGGCCUUCGGGUUGUAAACCUCUUUCAGCAGGGACGAAGCGAGAGUGACGGUACCUGCAGAAGAAGGACCGGCCAACUACGUGCCAGCAGCCGCGGUAAUACGUAGGGUCCGAGCGUUGUCCGGAAUUAUUGGGCGUAAAGGGCUCGUAGGCGGUUCGUCACGUCGGGAGUGAAAACUCGGAGCUCAACUCCGAGCCUGCUUCCGAUACGGGCAGACUAGAGGUAGGCAGGGGAGAGCGGAACUCCUGGUGUAGCGGUGGAAUGCGCAGAUAUCAGGAAGAACACCGGUGGCGAAGGCGGCUCUCUGGGCCUUACCUGACGCUGAGGAGCGAAAGCGUGGGUAGCGAACAGGAUUAGAUACCCUGGUAGUCCACGCCGUAAACGUUGGGCGCUAGGUGUGGGGGACAUUCCACGUCCUCCGUGCCGCAGCUAACGCAUUAAGCGCCCGCCUGGGGNGUACGCCGCGAGACGAACACAANAGAGUGUAGCGUUGAGAGUUGCGAGCGACGACGAGGGAGAGG
rnacentral:rRNA from 1 species